rnacentral:rRNA from 1 species
AGAGUUUGAUCCUGGCUCAGGAUGAACGCUGGCGGCGUGCAUAACACAUUCAAGUCGAACGGGAAGGAAGAGGAAGCUUGCUUCAUCUUCCGGAUAGUGGCGGACGGGUGAGUAACGCGUGAGCAACCUGCCUCGGUGAGGGGGAUAACACAGGGAAACUUGUGCUAAUACCGCAUAACAUAGCGAAGCCGCAUGACUUUGCUAUCAAAACUCCGGUGCACUGAGAUGGGCUCGCGUCCGAUUAGAUAGUUGGUGGGGUAACGGCCUACCAAGUCGACGAUCGGUAGCCGGACUGAGAGGUUGAACGGCCACAUUGGAACUGAGAUACGGUCCAGACUCCUACGGGAGGCAGCAGUGGGGAAUAUUGGGCAAUGGACGAAAGUCUGACCCAGCGACGCCGCGUGAGGGAAGAAGGUCUUCGGAUUGUAAACCUUAGUCAACAGGGAAGAAGAAAGUGACGGUACCUGUGGAGGAAGCCACGGCUAACUACGUGCCAGCAGCCGCGGUAAUACGUAGGUGGCAAGCGUUAUCCGGAUUUACUGGGUGUAAAGGGUGUGUAGGCGGGAUUGCAAGUCAGAUGUGAAAACUAAUGGGCUUAACCCAUAGCCUUGCAUUUGAAACUGCAGUUUCUUGAGAGUCGGAGAGGUAAAUGGAAAUUCCCCCGGUGUAGCGGGUGGAAUGCUUUGAUAUGGGGAGGAACACCAGGGGGGAAGGCGGAUUUACUGGGGGGCAACUGACGCUGAGACACGAAAAGGGUGGGGAGCAAACAGGAUUAGAUACCCUGGUAGUCCACACUGUAAACGAUGAAUGCUAGGUGUAGGGUGAGUUAUCAUUCUGGUGCCGCAGCUAACGCAAUAAGCAUUCCACCUGGGGAGUACGGCCGCAAGGUUGAAACUCAAAGGAAUUGACGGGAGCCCGCACAAGCAGUGGAGUAUGUGGAUUAAUUCGACGCAACGCGAAGAACCUUACCGAAACUUGACAUCCCAGGAAGACCGAUGUAAUGUUGUUUGUGCCCUUCGGGGAACCUGGUGACAGGUGGUGCAUGGUUGUCGUCAGCUCGUGUCGUGAGAUGUUGGGUUAAGUCCCGCAACGAGCGCAACCCCUACGGUUAGUUGCUACGCAAGAGCACUCUAGCCGGACUGCCGUUGACAAAACGGAGGAAGGUGGGGACGACGUCAAAUCAUCAUGCCCCUUACGUUUCGGGCCUCACACGUACUACAAUGGCGCAAACAAAGGGAAGCAAUGCCGCGAGGCGGAGCAAAACCCAAAAAAGGCGUCCCAGUUCGGACUGCAGGCUGCAACUCGCCUGCACAAAGUUGGAAUUGCUAGUAAUCGCGGAUCAGCAUGCCGCGGUGAAUACAAUCCCGGGCUUUGCACUCACCGCCCGUCA